rnacentral:ribozyme from 1 species
GUUACUUCAGUCUGUGAAGAUAGGAGUAAUCGUCCUUACUGUGAGAAUCAGUGACAAACAUGUGGGGCUUAUAUCUUAGAUGUCCAUCUAAUUCAUGCUGUAGUUAGACAAGGCAACCAUCAAGUAUUAGUGCAGACGUUAAAACCAUGU